GCGAACGCUGGCGGCAGGCCUAACACAUGCAAGUCGAGCGCACCCUUCGGGGUGAGCGGCGGACGGGUGAGUAACACGUGGGAACGUGCCCUUCGGUUCGGGAUAACUCAGGGAAACUUGAGCUAACACCGGAUACGCCCUAACGGGGAAAGGUUACGCCGAAGGAGCGGCCCGCGUCGGAUUAGCUUGUUGGUGGGGUAAAGGCCCACCAAGGCGACGAUCCGUAGCUGGUCUGAGAGGAUGAUCAGCCACACUGGGACUGAGACACGGCCCAGACUCCUACGGGAGGCAGCAGUGGGGAAUCUUGCGCAAUGGGCGAAAGCCUGACGCAGCCAUGCCGCGUGAAUGAUGAAGGUCUUAGGAUUGUAAAAUUCUUUCAGCGGGGACGAUAAUGACGGUACCCGCAGAAGAAGCCCCGGCUAACUUCGUGCCAGCAGCCGCGGUAAU
rnacentral:rRNA from 1 species